UGGGGUAUAGCCAAGCGGUAAGGCAGCAGACUCUGAAUCUGCCAUUCGUAGGUUCGAAUCCUACUACCCCAGCCA
rnacentral:tRNA from 3 species